rnacentral:rRNA from 1 species
GACGAACGCUGGCGGCGUGCUUAACACAUGCAAGUCGAACGGAAAGGCCCUGCUUGCGCGGUGCUCGAGUGGCGAACGGGUGAGUAACACGUGCGUGAUCUGCCCCUUACUUUGGGAUAAGCCUGGGAAACUGGGUCUAAUACUGGAUAGGACCAUGCUGUAGGUGGUGUGGUGGAAAGAUUAGUUUCGGUAAGGGAUGAGCUCGGGGCCUAUCAGCUUGUUGGUGGGGUAAUGGCCUACCAAGGCGUCGACGGGUAGCCGGCCAGAGAGGGUGGACGGCCACGUUGGGACUGAGAUGCGGCCCAGACUCAUACGGGAGGCAGCAGUGGGGAAAAGUGCAACAGGGGCGCAAGCCUGAUGCAGCGACGCCGCGUGGGGGAUGACGGCCUUCGGGUUGUAAACUCCUUUCAGCCAUGACGAAGCCCUUGUGGUGACGGUAGUGGUAGAAGAAGCACCGGCUAACUACGUG